UCCCGAGUGCCUAGGUUUUGUAAGGAGCGUUUUGUGAGUAGUGGUCGCAGAAUCGAACUCAGAGGACCUCUGCUACAGAUCUGUCUUCCUCCCGAGCUAAAGUGCUUUAGUCCUGAGGGUUUAACCCUUUCCCAUUUUUCUUCUGACUCCAUUUUUGCAGGUCAUAAUGAGUCGGCUGCAUCAAGAGAUCCAACGAGUAGGAGUGUUGGCUGGUAAGCUGGGCAUCCGUGUAUCUGAGUUUCUUAGCAAUAAAGUGAAAUGCAAUCUUA
rnacentral:lncRNA from 1 species